rnacentral:rRNA from 1 species
UACGGAGGGGUGCAAGCGUUGGUCCGGAUUUAUUGGGUUUAAAGGGUGCGCAGGUGGGUAUUUAAGUCUGGUUUGAAAGCAGGUGGCUCAACCAUCUGAUGUGGCUGGAAACUGGAUAUCUUGAAUGGGUUGGCGGUAGCCGGGAAUGGGUCAUGUAGCGGUGAAAUGCAUAGAUAUGACCCGGAACACCGAUUGCGAAGGCAGGCUACUACGACGUGAUUGACACUGAGGCACGAGAGCAUGGGUAGCGAACAGG